GCCUAACGGCUGAACUGGCAACUUGGAGAAGUGGCAAGUCUUAUAAUUUCUAGUAUUAGGUAUUUCUAUAUUUAUAAGAUUCUAUUAGAAUUGAAUGAAGCUUUGUUUAUAUAUUGAUAAUGACAGUAUAUAUAUCGUGUCUUGACUAAUUGCGUGCCAGCAGUCGCGGUAAUACGUAAGAGACUAGUGUUAUUCAUCUUAAUUAGGUUUAAAGGGUACCCAAACGGUCAAAAUAGCUUCUAUAAUGUUAGUACUUGACUAGAGUUUUAUGUAAGAGGGCAGUACUUGAGGAGGAGAGAUGAAAUUCUAUGAUACCAAAGGGACUCUGUAAAGGCGAAGGCAGCCCUCUAAGUAAAAACUGACGUUGAAGGACGAAGGCUCAGAUCACAAACAGGAUUAGAUACCCAAGUAGUCUUUCGAGUAAAUGAUGAAUGCCAUAGGUCAGAGUAAGAUUUAAUGGUAGUAGGCCGGCUUAUUGCAUAGCGAAAAAAAACUGGCUAGCUCGGACUACACAUUAAACAUUAUUUGGUCUAUAAAUGAAAGUGUAAGCAUUUCACCUCAAGAGUAAUGUGGCAACCCAGGAACUGAAAUCACUAGACCGUUUCUGACACCAGUAGUGAAGU
rnacentral:rRNA from 1 species